rnacentral:rRNA from 1 species
ACGAACGCUGGCGGCGUGCCUAAUACAUGCAAGUCGAACGCUUCUUUUUCCACCGGAGCUUGCUCCACCGGAAAAAGAGGAGUGGCGAACGGGUGAGUAACACGUGGGUAACCUGCCCAUCAGAAGGGGAUAACACUUGGAAACAGGUGCUAAUACCGUAUAACAAUCGAAACCGCAUGGUUUUGAUUUGAAAGGCGCUUUCGGGUGUCGCUGAUGGAUGGACCCGCGGUGCAUUAGCUAGUUGGUGAGGUAACGGCUCACCAAGGCGACGAUGCAUAGCCGACCUGAGAGGGUGAUCGGCCACAUUGGGACUGAGACACGGCCCAAACUCCUACGGGAGGCAGCAGUAGGGAAUCUUCGGCAAUGGACGAAAGUCUGACCGAGCAACGCCGCGUGAGUGAAGAAGGUUUUCGGAUCGUAAAACUCUGUUGUUAGAGAAGAACAAGGAUGAGAGUAACUGUUCAUCCCUUGACGGUAUCUAACCAGAAAGCCACGGCUAACUACGUGCCAGCAGCCGCGGUAAUACGUAGGUGGCAAGCGUUGUCCGGAUUUAUUGGGCGUAAAGCGAGCGCAGGCGGUUUCUUAAGUCUGAUGUGAAAGCCCCCGGCUCAACCGGGGAGGGUCAUUGGAAACUGGGAGACUUGAGUGCAGAAGAGGAGAGUGGAAUUCCAUGUGUAGCGGUGAAAUGCGUAGAUAUAUGGAGGAACACCAGUGGCGAAGGCGGCUCUCUGGUCUGUAACUGACGCUGAGGCUCGAAAGCGUGGGGAGCAAACAGGAUUAGAUACCCUGGUAGUCCACGCCGUAAACGAUGAGUGCUAAGUGUUGGAGGGUUUCCGCCCUUCAGCGCUGCCGCUAACGCAUUAAGGACUCCGCCUGGGGAGUACGACCGCAAGGUUGAAACUCAAAGGAAUUGACGGGGGCCCGCACAAGCGGUGGAGCAUGUGGUUUAAUUCGAAGCAACGCGAAGAACCUUACCAGGUCUUGACAUCCUUUGACCACUCUAGAGAUAGAGCUUCCCCUUCGGGGGCAAAGUGACAGGUGGUGCAUGGUUGUCGUCAGCUCGUGUCGUGAGAUGUUGGGUUAAGUCCCGCAACGAGCGCAACCCUUAUUGUUAGUUGCCAUCAUUUAGUUGGGCACUCUAGCAAGACUGCCGGUGACAAACCGGAGGAAGGUGGGGAUGACGUCAAAUCAUCAUGCCCCUUAUGACCUGGGCUACACACGUGCUACAAUGGGAAGUACAACGAGUCGCAAAGUCGCGAGGCUAAGCUAAUCUCUUAAAGCUUCUCUCAGUUCGGAUUGUAGGCUGCAACUCGCCUACAUGAAGCCGGAAUCGCUAGUAAUCGCGGAUCAGCACGCCGCGGUGAAUACGUUCCCGGGCCUUGUACACACCGCCCGUCACACCACGAGAGUUUGUAACACCCGAAGUCGGUGAGGUAACCUUUUGGAGCCAGCCGCCUAAGGUGGGAUAGAUGAUUGGGGUG